rnacentral:rRNA from 1 species
CGCUGGCGGCGUGCCUAAUACAUGCAAGUCGAGCGAAGUUUUUCUGGUGCUUGCACUAGAAAAACUUAGCGGCGAACGGGUGAGUAACACGUAAAGAACCUGCCUUAUAGACUGGGACAACUAUUGGAAACGAUAGCUAAUACCGGAUAACAGCAUUAACUGCAUGGUUGAUGUUUGAAAGUUGGUUUUGCUAACACUAUGAGAUGGCUUUGCGGUGCAUUAGCUAGUUGGUGGGGUAAAGGCCUACCAAGGCGACGAUGCAUAGCCGACCUGAGAGGGUGAUCGGCCACACUGGGACUGAGACACGGCCCAGACUCCUACGGGAGGCAGCAGUAGGGAAUCUUCCGCAAUGGGCGAAAGCCUGACGGAGCAACGCCGCGUGAGUGAAGAAGGAUUUCGGUUCGUAAAGCUCUGUUGUUAGGGAAGAAUGAUUGUGUAGUAACUAAACACAGUAGAGACGGUACCUAACCAGAAAGCCACGGCUAACUACGUGCCAGCAGCCGCGGUAAUACGUAGGUGGCAAGCGUUGUCCGGAAUUAUUGGGCGUAAAGCGCGCGCAGGUGGUUUAAUAAGUCUGAUGUGAAAGCCCACGGCUCAACCGUGGAGGGUCAUUGGAAACUGUUAAACUUGAGUGCAGGAGAGAAAAGUGGAAUUCCUAGUGUAGCGGUGAAAUGCGUAGAGAUUAGGAGGAACACCAGUGGCGAAGGCGGCUUUUUGGCCUGUAACUGACACUGAGGCGCGAAAGCGUGGGGAGCAAACAGGAUUAGAUACCCUGGUAGUCCACGCCGUAAACGAUGAGUGCUAAGUGUUGGUCUCAUAAGAGAUCAGUGCUGCAGCUAACGCAUUAAGCACUCCGCCUGGGGAGUACGACCGCAAGGUUGAAAC